GGAAUGCGUUCUUAUCCCAGGAAUGCGUUCUUAUCCGACAAUACAGCCACCCGCGGCGAGGCUUUGGUUUUUAACCAAUCAGCUUGCAGCAGUACUGAUCAGGCACGGAUCCCUGUACUAGCGAGCAGACCACGAGCAGUUGCGUUAUUUUUCGUUGUCUGUUCUGGCAAUCGGCCGGCGGAUGAACAUCCGCAAUCGAAUCUUGAAAUCCGUCGCGCUGAUUGGUGAUGAGUUUCAUGAGCUACUUUCAUGAGGUCUAUGAAAGUAAACCUAUGCUAUGCCCUGAACAGAUGACAUCUCAUUUGGUAGCCAAUUGCUAAAAUGUAUUUUUAUCUUACGCAAGGCAGUAUACCAUAUUUUAUACCGUGGCUCUGAUCCGAAAUCAGGGCAUUUUUGUUCGAACAAAUACCUAUAAUAACGAUGAAGAAGUGCGUGAUCCGCGGAGCAAACGACCUACGUCGGGUCGGGACUGAUAUGCGUGUGACUGUGCGUGUGACUGUGCACCUAGGUUCCCGCUAAAAAAAGAAGUACAGAGAAAAGUGGAUGAGGGUGUGUGGCAUGACCAAUGAAACAAGACCACAUGACCACUUAAACUUAACAAGAAGUGCGCACCAUGAUAAGCACAGUCAAAAACGUUUGCGUCUAAAGAACAGUGCUGUGCCAGAUCAGAAUAUUCCGUAUACGCCUUGGGUUGCUGUCGCUGCUCGGUCACCCACAGAUGAAAGUGAUCAAGAAAUGGACAUCACUCAGGUGUGGGAUCACUCGUGGAAGUUCACGGCGGAUACGGAGCCGUGCAUGCAGCUCUGGUUCGAUCCUGCUCAGGGAAGCCCCAAUGACGCCGUGGCGCGCAUCUGGGCUGAGCGGGUGGUGGCGGCCGGUGCGCGGGCGCUGCCGCGUGGCUGGUGGCAGCGGCCCGCUCCUGACCCGGUCGCCCUGUGCCGAGCACAGAGCGCCGACUGAGGUCAGUCUUGUGAUCGAGCUUCCGCGCCGGAGGUGGAACAGGUGGAGCCGGCGACCAGCGGCGCGGGCUCGGCGGCCUGUAAGCCGUGCCGAGACGAACCGCGACACUCUUGCUAGAUCUGCACCCCAUUGUAAUCUUCUGUAGUCGAUAUUCGGUAGGUACUCAAUGCUCAUUUUUCUGAUAUUAGACGAGUGGCGUGUUUUGAUGUUACAUUGGAGACUGCUGUCUCGGGUGGCCCGACAGUGUUCGAUUGUGGUGUAAUGUAGAUACAUAGACGGGAUGCCGCGGCUCGGAUUCGUAGCUGGACUACCAUGUGCCUGUCGAUUGAGAUGCUUUGCCUGGCGAUUGAGAUGAUUCGGGGCGCGGCCCCACACUGACGCCAUGGUGCAAUGAGUGACUGGCGACAACUAAGCAAUUUUGUACUUUUGUAGAACACAUGUUUUCAUGGAUACGAGAGGCAGUCCUUUUUUCGCUAGCAGUCAUUUGGUUCACGAUACUUUCGAUACCGACAAAUAUGUUCGGGCGGCCGGUCCGUCUACAGCUAAUGCGUGCUUGCCCGCCGAUGCCUAACGGAGCGCUGUGCUGUCUACGCUCACUGGUCGCUGGCCCGAGAGCCGUUCGGUUGCUGCUGUUAAAACAGUUCUCACAAAAACACGCUGGCUGGCUGCCAGUUCUUCACCAAUGAGAGGCCCAGUAGCAUCAGCAGGUAGCAUUGUUUAAUAUUACUAUUCCAUUUUGUUUACCCAUAUGUCCGACCUAGAGCCGACUGGUAAAAAGCGGCAACCGAGCAGCCCUCCGCAGCGCUGCAGAUCAUGUACGCUCGAUUAUACACAAUAUAUGUGUCUUUCUUGCACACAGAGACAUGA
rnacentral:misc_RNA from 1 species